UCUCCUGUGGCUUAGUUGGCAAUAGCUUCAUGCUUAUAACUUUUCAGGCAGUAAAAGCGCGAAGCGCUUUGCUACUGGGAAACGUGAUGGUCGCGGGUUCGAUCCCCGCCAGGAGAA
rnacentral:tRNA from 1 species